UACGGAGGAUGCAAGCGUUAUCCGGAAUUAUUGGGCGUAAAGCGUCCGCAGGUGGUUUAUCAAGUCUGCUGUCAAAGCGCGAGGCUUAACUUCGUAAAGGCAGUGGAAACUGAUAGACUGGAGUGCGGUAGGGGCAGAGGGAAUUCCCAGUGUAGCGGUGAAAUGCGUAGAGAUCGGGAAGAACAUCAGUGGCGAAGGCGGUCUGCUGGGCCGUUGCUGACGCUGAGGCGCGACAGCGUGGGGAGCAAACAGG
rnacentral:rRNA from 1 species